AGGAAACAUCGUUGAUGGAGUUUUCAAGUUGGGAAGAUGUUUUGCGGAAAGCAUCAAUUGAGAUGAUGGUGAAGAUGCGCUUCUUGAUGUUGUUUGGGCGGCACUUGAGGAUCAAUGAAAGGGUUUCAUUGAGUAUAUGUUCGGUUUGCUCGAGGAUCAGCCACAUCGGACGCUGCAUAUAGAGUUCAGAGCUCGUCGGUGCUGCUAGCCGGAGAAGAUCAGAUAGCUUCUUUGCUUUUGAUUUGAGUUCCCCACAAUAUUGUUUGAAAGGGAUUGGCACAUCUGGUGUGUUAUUUACUUCGUCUGCCAGCUCAAUUGACUUUGCCAAUUUUUGCUUCAGAUUGUCACCCAUUGAUAGUUAGUUUGGUUUUGAGGUCUUAAAGGGAUAGCUUAGGAGAUGAUUGGCAACAGAAACAGUUUCUCAAGUCAAACGAAUCAAAAGAGCUUUCUAGUUAGAAAUGAAUGGACACACACAUACACACUAAAGUGGAUGGCAUUGAUUUACCAAGUCAAACGUGCUUUCUAGUUCUAUCUAUCUAAC
rnacentral:lncRNA from 1 species